GAUGAACGCUGGCGGCGUGCUUAACACAUGCAAGUCGAGCGAACGGACCCGACGUUUGCUUCUCUGUUGUUAGCGGCGGACGGGUGAGUCACACGUGGAUAACCCACCUAUCUGACUGGGAUCACUUCGAGACACCGGAGCUAAUACCGGAUAAUAUCUUGAACCGCAUGGUUCAAUAGUGAAUGACGGUCUUUCUGUCACUUCUAGAUGGAUCCGCGCUGCAUUAGCUAGUUGGUACGGUAACGGCUUACCAAGGCAACGAUGCAUAGCCGACCUGAGAGAGUGGUAGGCGGCAUGAGAGGUGGGACACGGACCAGGCUCCUGCGAGAGGGAGCAGAAGGGAAUGGGACGCAGUGGGCGAGAGCAUGACGGAGCGAGGGCGCGUGAGUGGUGGAGGUCUUCGGAGCGUGAAGCUCGGUUAUGGGGGAAAAACAUAUGUGUAAGUAGAUGAAGAGAUAGUGACGGUACCUGAUCAAGAAGCAACGGCUAACUACGUG
rnacentral:rRNA from 1 species